CGUAGGGUGCGAGCCGUUAAUCGGAAUUACUGGGCGUAAAGCGUGCGCAGGCGGUUUUGUAAGACAGGCGUGAAAUCCCCGGGCUCAACCUGGGAACUGCGCUUGUGACUGCAAGGCUAGAGUACGGCAGAGGGGGGUGGAAUUCCACGUGUAGCAGUGAAAUGCGUAGAGAUGUGGAGGAACACCAAUGGCGAAGGCAGCCCCCUGGGUCGAUACUGACGCUCAUGCACGAAAGCGUGGGUAGCAAACAGGAUUAGAUACCCUGGUAGUCCACGCCCUAAACGAUGUCAACUAGGUGUUGGGUGGGUAAAACCAUUUAGUACCGGAGCUAACGCGUGAAGUUGACCGCCUGGGGAGUACGGCCGCAAGGUUA
rnacentral:rRNA from 1 species